UACGGAGGGUGCAAGCGUUAUCCGGAUUCACUGGGUUUUAAAGGGUGCGUAGGUGGGCAGGUAAGUCAGUGGUGAAAUCUCCGGGCUUAACCCGGAAACUGCCAUUGAUACUAUUUGUCUUGAAUACCGUGGAGGUUAGCGGAAUAUGUCAUGUAGCGGUGAAAUGCUUAGAUAUGACAUAGAACACCAAUUGCGAAGGCAGCUUACUACACAGUUAUUGACGCUGAGGCACGAAAGCGUGGGGAUCAAACAGGG
rnacentral:rRNA from 1 species